rnacentral:rRNA from 1 species
UACGAAGGGGGGCUAGCGUUGCUCGGAAUCACUGGGCGUAAAGGGUGCGUAGGCGGGUCUUUUAAGUCAGGGGUGAAAUCCUGGAGCUCAACUCCAGAACUGCCUUUGAUACUGAAGAUCUUGAGUUCGGGAGAGGUGAGUGGAACUGCGAGUGUAGAGGUGAAUUGUAGAUAUUCGCAAGAACACCAGUGGCGAAGGCGGCUCACUGGCCCGAUACUGACGCUGAGGCACGAAAGCGUGGGGAGCAACAGG